GAGGCGAUCUGGCCGCCUCAAAAGCAAUGGACUUCCAGCAGCCCGGCGGCGCUGGUGGGAUCGUGCGGCUGGAACCGGUGUGUCGGCGCCCGACCGCCUGGCCGGAGACUGUACCUGCAGGAUUAUGAAGGCCCAGCGGCAAUGCCUUUCCUGGAGCAAGUACGGCUGCCUUCGUGAAAGACUUCUGAGGGUGAAACAUUCGCAUCUGCUGGAGCUCACGUAGUGUUUGCACGGUUUAUGCCAGGCUGAGCAAACACAGCUUUCCUCAGGCUGCGACUGGAAAUGAAUACUGCACUGACAGGGAGUAGAAGAGGUUGCGGCUGCUUCUAGUGUCCGGCAGCUGCAGUGGCAGCAAUUCCGGCCACGGUGUUUUAUUAACAGCAAGUCUCCCUCUCAGGAACUGACCCCAGUCCACACCCCUGGGCCGCCAGCCCUUCCUCGCGCUGACCUGGCAGGAAACAGAGGAGGAGGGAUGAUGUUUUCCUGUUUUCAC